CCCCACGGGACUCAGCAGUGAUAAAAAU
rnacentral:piRNA from 1 species